UUCUUUUUUUUAUCAGAAUGAGAAAUACAGARAGACAUCUGUCCAUGAUGUAAUUAUGAAGCCAGUCUUUUGGGGGCGCUCUAAAACCAUAAAUGAGAUGGUUAACCAAAACUUUAUGGAAAACAUCUGUUCAUUCCUCACUGUCAUGAUGAUAAUGAUGGUGAAUGCAGCUGCAAGAAGAAGUGCUCUCUAAACAGAUGUAAAGACACCUGUAAACAAUGUUUUUUUUUCUUAAAAACACCAAUUGAGCUGCAUCAUACAGUCCAGUAUGCUCUUCUUUGGUUUCUUUAAUAAAGUCAUAAUG